rnacentral:tmRNA from 1 species
GGGGAUGAUCGGUUUCGACGGUAUUGAUUGCCGGAGAGAAGCGGGUAGAGGAAGCAGAGUCAGCUCUUUAACGAUUCUCUGCAAAAAAUAGUUGCUAAUAAGCAUCAUAACGAUUUCGCCCUCGCUGCCUAAGCGCGAGCGCAUUUAAAGAAAUCCGUCAGCCUCGCGUAGCUUUCGCGCGAGAUUCCUGGCGUCGUCUUUAAGGAAGCCACUGUGUUUUCUGCAGGUUAGUGGUAGGAAACAUAAACUUAGCUAACUAGGUUCGCCAGCGACUGGUUUGCGUGAGCGCUGGAGCCGAAAAAAGCGUCUAGCAAACUGCACCCGGAGAAGUCUCAGACAUUCCGUAUCGGACGCGGGUUCGAUUCCCGCCAUCUCCACUA